GCUCGCUUCGGCAGCACAUAUACUAAAA
rnacentral:snRNA from 1 species